UACGUAGGGGGCAAGCGUUGUCCGGAAUCAUUGGGCGUAAAGCGCGUGUAGGCGGUUCGGUAAGUCCGCUGUGAAAGUCGGGGGCUCAACCCUCGAAUGCCGGUGGAUACUGUCGGGCUAGAGUGCGGAAGAGGCGAGUGGAAUUCCUGGUGUAGCGGUGAAAUGCUUAGAUAUGACAUAGAACACCAAUUGCGAAGGCAGCUCACUACUCAAUCAUUGACACUGAGGCACGAAAGCGUGGGGAUCAAACAGG
rnacentral:rRNA from 1 species